UACGUAGGGUGCAAGCGUUGUCCGGAAUUAUUGGGCGUAAAGAGCUCGUAGGCGGUUUGUCGCGUCUGCUGUGAAAUCCCGAGGCUCAACCUCGGGCCUGCAGUGGGUACGGGCAGACUAGAGUGCGGUAGGGGAGAUUGGAAUUCCUGGUGUAGCGGUGGAAUGCGCAGAUAUCAGGAGGAACACCGAUGGCGAAGGCAGAUCUCUGGGCCGUAACUGACGCUGAGGAGCGAAAGCGUGGGGAGCGAACAGGAUUAGAUACCCGCGUAGUCC
rnacentral:rRNA from 1 species